GCAAAACAUUAAACUUUGAUCUAUUAUAAUAACGCUAAACCUGAACCCAAAAAAGAAAUAAUGCUAAAGAGAGAAUCUGAUAAAAGUGAAAUAGAUAGAAGACUUGUAAGAUUACGGGGCGUUAAAUUUGCGAACUUGAUGCAUCAGAUGAUCAGACAAUACGAGAGACUGCAAACUGCAAUGCUGUAUAAGUUGUACUGCAAACAUGCAACCAAGCUGGAUUGUUCCGUUUCUAGUUGGCUAAAGAUCAUCUGCGCACAUACCGUCCUGUUGUCUGAUAAAAUCAAAUACAUAUAUGCAACCCCAUAAGUUACAAGAUCAAUGCUAAAAACAAAACAGGAAAGAAGAAUAACAAGGACCUUCUUCAUUCAUAGCCAGUUAAGAGUCAAAGAAGAAAGACAUAACUAACUCCAUUUCUACAAUUCAUACAAAAUGAUCUUUUCUCAUGAAAAAUGAACUUAAGACAGUUUAAAAAUAAGCAUUUAUCUCAGCUCGGCCCUUACAGAAUAUCGGAUAAUACUGUCACCAUCGCCCACAUUUACAAUUUAAAAUUUAGGUGUAGCCAAGUUGGCUAGGACAUUGUGCCCCCUUUGCACUCACAAUUCAAAUUCCCUUCCUCAUCCUUCAGAUUAGAUUAAAAUAUUGCCCGAUAAUGUAUAUUACUCUUUCGACAUGGACGUACAUAUAAUGUCACAUUCACAGACAUGCACAGCAGCACAGAGCAAAACCCACAUCCGUUUUUCUAUUUUGCCAGUGGAUGUGAUUUUUGAGCCCCGAAGACUGGUCUUCCAACAUUUGGUUAUCUGAAAGUUCGGACAUUUAAGUGCACAUAAUUUCAUAGUCUCAUGGAUCGCACUAGGAGCAAUGGAUCGCGGUAGUUUUUCGUGAUUUUCGAUUGUAUUUUUCACUCCCAGAUCCACUUCCAUUGUAUAAUGAAAUUCCAGAAGACCCCAAAAGUCUAAGAAUCACAAACUUAUUUCCGAAAAGAAGCGUAUAAUUAUGUUCGUGAUCGCAUGUUAUUCGUUUAAAACGCCAUUCACCCAUUUGGCAAAAUUUGAUUUCUCUCAUAAUUUCAGUAUAUAUAAUCAAGCAAUAAGUCAGCAAAAGCAUCUGAUGCCAACGCAGCCUUCAAGUGCCAGCUCUCUGCCAUUUUUUCCAGUACCAGUUAUUCCAUUCUUUUAAAAACACCACUAUCCCUUUGCCACCUUGUAUCAUAACUUGUUAUUCUAAUUCCUUUUUUACGGUGGUGAACCGCAGUUAUAAAAAGGGGAGGUUCAGAAGCAGCCUAUAGUCAUAAUCACACGAUAAAUUUUUCGUAUCUUUGAGAAACCAGAAUUUAGAGGAGUAUGGCAUCCAUGAAGGCUAAAGUGCAACUCGGCAGCCAACAGUUCGGACAGGGCAAGAAAGAACCUGCCGUUGCCAAGGCUGGUGAUGGCGGAGCCAAAGCCCCGGCAUCUAAGGCCGCCCCAAAGAAAGCUUCUGCCGCACCGAAGGCUCCCGCACCCAAGAAGGGUAAAGACGGCAAAGCUGCAGCAAAGAAGUGACCAAAGCAUACAGAAAAAGAGAACGAUUUCAUUUCGUUUUCUCAUGGUAACUUUGAUCUAAUCCAUGUAAAGCCAUCCCAAUGAAAUAAAAACUCACGUUUAGCUAUA